rnacentral:rRNA from 1 species
GACGAACCGUGCAAACGUUAUUCGGAAUCACUGGGCUUAAAGGGCGCGUAGGCGGGCUCGCAAGUCAGGGGUGAAAUACCACGGCUCAACCGUGGCAGGGCCUUUGAUACUGCGAACCUCGAGGGAGGUAGGGGCGUGCGGAACUUCCGGUGGAGCGGUGAAAUGCGUAGGUAUCGGAAGGAACACCGGUGGCGAAAGCGGCGCGCUGGACCUCUUCUGACGCUGAGGCGCGAAAGCCAGGGGAGCAAACGGG